ACUCCUACGGGAGGCAGCAGUGGGGAAGUAUUGCACAAUGGGCAGGCAAGCCAUGCAUGCAGCCAUGCCGCGUGUAUGAAGAAGGCCUUCGGGUUGUAAAGUACUUUCAGCAGUGAGGAAGGCGGGUACGUUAAUAGCGUGCUCGUUUGACGUUAGCUGCAGAAGAAGCACCGGCUAACUCCGUGCCAGCAGCCGCGGUAAUACGGAGGGUGCGAGCGUUAAUCGGAAUUACUGGGCGUAAAGCGCAUGCAGGUGGUUUGUUAAGUCAGAUGUGAAAGCCC
rnacentral:rRNA from 1 species